rnacentral:lncRNA from 1 species
UCUUUUCCUCAUAUUCUCUCUUCUGCUUUUUGUGGGUGUGUGUGGGUGUGUUCUGUUUUUUCUUAGACAUAUGCCCUAUUUUUCCGGCGAGGAUUUUCGGCUGCGAGGCCCGUUCACGGUGUUUGGGAGUGAAGAGCUAAACAACACCGGCUGGGACGUGCAAGAGUCGGUAACAGUUGACCUUGGGUGCAUCAAAGCCUACUUUCAGGUUUUUCCACCGGGAGUUGGUACCUCCCGCUCUCUUGUUUACUCUGUACACCUUUUUACGUAUUCUAGCUAG